rnacentral:tmRNA from 1 species
GGGGGCGACUGGAUUCGACACGAUAGGUCUGAGGGAAGAAGCAGGCCGAGGUCUCCUCGCCUCGAUAAACAGGGGUACAGACGCUCAAGCGUCGACAAUGACUACGCUCUCGCUGCCUAGUAGGUAGCGACGUCGACCCGGUGUGAGUCCCCGCCACCGGCAAGACGUCACUUCAGGGGACUGCCGCAGCGGUCACGGGCAGGAACGCCGCUGCGAAAGACGCGGACUGCCAGGGCGCGGGCACGCGGGUCACCAGUGUCGCCUUCGCUGACGAGAAUCGGUGACUGAGCCUGGAGAUGCUUCCCAGGGGUCUAUCGUGGACCGGAGUUCGAUUCUCCGCGCCUCCACCA